AUCUUGCGCAAUGCGCGAAAGCGUGACGCAGCAACGCCGCGUGGAGGAAGACGGCCUUCGGGUUGUAAACUCCUUUCAGUUGGGACGAAGGUUCACUGGUGAAUAGUCAGUUGGACUGACGGUACCUUCAGAAGAAGCCCCGGCUAACUACGUGCCAGCAGCCGCGGUAAUACGUAGGGGGCUAGCGUUGUCCGGAAUCAUUGGGCGUAAAGCGCGUGUAGGCGGCUCGGUAAGUCCGCUCUGAAAGCCCGGGGCUUAACCCCGGGAGGCGGGUGGAUACUGUCGAGCUCGAGUCCGGAAGAGGCAAGUGGAAUUCCCGGUGUAGCGGUGAAAUGCGCAGAUAUCGGGAGGAACACCAAUGGCGAAGGCAGCUUGCUGGGACGGUACUGACGCUGAGACGCGAAAGCGUGGGGAGCAAAC
rnacentral:rRNA from 1 species